UUUCGUAUGAAAUGCAGGUGCUUUGCAUCCUGGCCACGUGGCUUCUGUGCUGUGCCUUCAGCUGACCCCCCCCUUCCCUCCCCAGGGAGCUGAUCACACCCCACCAGCCCUGCCUGCUCCUGUGCACUUAACAUCCAGUGUUGUCACGGAUUAUUUAUGCUUCUAAUUCGUCUAUUCCUGAAGACAAAGACAGGCUCUCUCGGUAUUGGCCUCCUUGUCUAGCACAGACUCUUACAGAAUGCAGGCUGCAACAUUUAAAUAUUUGUUGAAUACAUGGAGGCUAUGUAAGUAACUUUUUCCUUUAAAUUUAAUUGGACUGACUAGGGGAUCUUGAAAUUUAAAUGAAGACUCUAAAAUGAAUAAUAAAGAAAGGAAUAUCUUUAAAAACGAUUCUAAAAAAUUCACCUUUAAAGAAUGCCUUUAUAGAGUCAAUAAUUACCAAUUUGUUAAAUUUCCCGAAUCUGAAAUUCAUUAUAGUGGGUGUCCGUGGCCCUCUAGUGGCGCCAAAGGGUUACAGCAUUAGUUCCAGGCUCUGGAAACCCUGACCUUCUCUCAAAAUGGCCGCUCACCAGGGAGAAACGUUAUCUACUGAGCAGAGCAGGACCGUUUGGAGACAGAACAAUGACAAGAGACAAAUGUUUCAGCAGCAACAGUGUAAUCAGCUCAACCAGUAACUUGGCCUUUUAUAUAGAAUCCUUAAUGCUAUUCCUCUGUUUACAAAACAAAGAAACACCCCAAAGCCUUAGGUGCUGGGGAAACGCAAAGCAGAGCUCCCUCUUCUGAGCAAAGAAAGUUCUGAACAUGUUUGCUGCAAUUUCCUGAAAAGUUAAACCCACUGCAGUAAAGAACAGAGUGAGCCCUGUCUUCUUCAUCUUCAUUACUCCUCUCUCCUUUGGAUCAAUGGAAAUGAGCUUCGUUAGGAAAGUAGUCUCUUCGAGUGCUUAAGGGCCUGGCGUCAGGAGCAGAACUACCUGCGUUUCAAACCAGAUGCUGCUACUUACUAGGUGCCUGACGGUGGCAAAGUUCAUGACUGAUCUCAUCACGUGAGUCCUUCAAAGUGGAGAAUCAUUCCUGGCUGGGUCAGACAGGGGCAGGAGGAGUGAUUCAAAGUGUGAGAGGGACUUGGCCCACCCACCGAUGUUGGCUUUGAAGAUGGAGGAAGGGGACCAGGAGCCAAGGACUGUGAGUGGCCUCUAGAAACUGAGAAUGGCCCCCAGAUGACAACCAGCAAAAAACAGUGACCUUGGUCCUACAACCUCAAGGAGUUGAAUUUUCUUACAACCCAAAUGAACAAGGAAACAGACGGUCCCCUAGAGCCUACAGAAGGGAUUGUGGCCCUGCUGAAACCUUGAGCUUAAGCUGGUGAGACCCACGUUGGACUAAUAACCUACAGAAUUGCAAGUGUUCCUGCAGCCAUGUACAGAAGAAGAGCCACACGGAGAAGCAUCUUCCUUUCUCCCGCCCGCUGGGGUGCCAAGCACUCCUGGUCUCACCCAGCAUCCUGUGAGGGAGCGGGAGAUCGGAGCUUCAGCUCCCUGCUCCUCAUGCUUCUGAGAUUGGGUGGUGACGUCCUCUCACACGUGAAAAC
ensembl:lncRNA